rnacentral:snoRNA from 1 species
UUGCAAUGAUGAUAAUCUUCAGUGUCGAGAGCAGGUCUCUGCUCGAUGAAUCUGGGAAAUAAUCUCCAUUAUUUCCUCCUGAGCGGUUACCUGAGCAA